GACGAACGCUGGCGGCGUGCUUAACACAUGCAAGUCGAACGGGAACUUCGUGUUUAGGGGCGCAGGGGUUCUUAACGAUUGGUAACCUGCCCCUGGGUUCGGAGUCAUUGCCCGCAAGGGGUGUUCAUGAAGGUUAGUGUCAUCGGACCAAGGAUUUACCGCCAUAGGAUGGGCGCGCGUUGGUUUCGGCAGUUGGUAGUGGAAUAGCCUACCAAGGACACGCUUCUGAGCUGGUCUGAGAGGAUGAUCAGGCACACUGGGACUGAGACACGGACCAGAACCCUACGGGAGGCAGCAGUGGGGAAUAUUGGACAAUGGGGGAAAACCUGAUCCAGCGACGCCGCGUGAGAGAGGAAGCCCGUAGGGAUGUAAAGUUCUCUUAGCCGGGAUGAUAGUGACGGUACCGGGAGAAGAAGCUCCGGCUAACUACGUG
rnacentral:rRNA from 1 species